CACUUCUCUCCAUUUUUGCUCUAGGCUCCCUAACACAAUGGCAAGAAACAGAUUUUUUGAAAACUAACAAACCAUGCAAUUCCCACUAUGCAGCGUCCUAAAGCAUCCAACUGUUCAUAUUGGGACCUUCCUGAACAAGGCAACCUGUAAACAACUGCACAGUGAUCAUCCUGCUGCCACCUUCUACCUUCAGUUCUGAAAUUAAAAAGCUGUAAAAUGAAUAUCCAGAAAGGCACAGAAUCUAAGACACGGCUCCUUUCAAUUAAGGGUAGCCUGGGACUUUAAAAAAUGUGAUCCAUCAUAGUACCACCCUAUGAAAUGGUCAGUCCUAAAGGGUCGAGACCCACCGGUUGAGAACCUCUGCUCUUGAGUGUGCUGCUUGGCACCAGAACUAGGAAAAUGGACAAGACUUUGCCCAAUACCCAGUCAUCUGGUCCAGUGGAACAACACACUGAAACGUCCAGCUUUGCCUGUGCUUCUGUAGUGAUGCAGAGAACACAGCCCAAGAAGAGCUGAGCGCUUUCUCCUCCUUGCCUCUGUCUGUGAGUGUGUGCAUACGACGCUCCUGAUGAGGAAGGCUAAGAACUUGGAAGCCUGUUGGCUUAUGCAGUAGACCCAUCUGUGCGGGGCUUGUCUUUCUCAGUGACCUUGGAUCCUGAGAUGAUAAGGUCAAGUAAGGAAGAAAAACCAAAGUUCUCCAGACAUGGCUGUGCCUCGUUUGUUUGCGCUUGCUUUUGUUUAGGUUUUCC
rnacentral:lncRNA from 1 species